rnacentral:rRNA from 1 species
AAAUUGAAGAGUUUGAUCAUGGCUCAGAUUGAACGCUGGCGGCAGGCCUAACACAUGCAAGUCGAACGGUAACAGGAAGAAGCUUGCUUCUUUGCUGACGAGUGGCGGACGGGUGAGUAAUGUCUGGGAAACUGCCUGAUGGAGGGGGAUAACUACUGGAAACGGUAGCUAAUACCGCAUAAUGUCGCAAGACCAAAGAGGGGGACCUUCGGGCCUCUUGCCAUCGGAUGUGCCCAGAUGGGAUUAGCUUGUUGGUGGGGUAACGGCUCACCAAGGCGACGAUCCCUAGCUGGUCUGAGAGGAUGACCAGCCACACUGGAACUGAGACACGGUCCAGACUCCUACGGGAGGCAGCAGUGGGGAAUAUUGCACAAUGGGCGCAAGCCUGAUGCAGCCAUGCCGCGUGUAUGAAGAAGGCCUUCGGGUUGUAAAGUACUUUCAGCGGGGAGGAAGGGAGUAAAGUUAAUACCUUUGCUCAUUGACGUUACCCGCAGAAGAAGCACCGGCUAACUCCGUGCCAGCAGCCGCGGUAAUACGGAGGGUGCAAGCGUUAAUCGGAAUUACUGGGCGUAAAGCGCACGCAGGCGG